GGGCCGGUAGCUCAGGUGGUUAGAGCGCACGCCUGAUAAGCGUGAGGUCGGAGGUUCAAGUCCUCCCCGGCCCA
rfam:Stappia sp. ES.058 genome assembly, chromosome: I